rnacentral:lncRNA from 1 species
UCCUACCCUCUCUUGGGCUGACCUUUAUUUAUCAACAGACUCGAUGUCACUUUGUUUAAAAUCAAAUGCUUCAGCAGAAGUCAAUCUCUCUCCAACCGUAUAAUGAAUAGUUUCUCUUCACCAUUGAUGGCAAGUCAAAAACCAAUGGGGGCACGAACGCGUGUGUGCUUUCUUGUCAUGAGUUAGAAAAACUAGUCUUGUUAAUAAUGUUACCAUAUUUACCCUUAUAUAGUGAAAUUGUACAGAUCCAUUUCAUUUUAAUCAAUUACAGGAAAGAAGAAAAGACAACACCCGUUUUCCAACCAUCCCAUCUCCAUAUCAAUUGUCAAAGAAGUAAAAGCAAUCGGAUUUCCAGUGCAGUAUUGCCCACUCCAUUUGCAUGGCUUGUCUUAUUUUUCUAGACAGACGCUUGUUCUGUGUGUUGAGUCAUCCAAUGAUUCGAACAGUUUCAAUCCAAUAAGAACGGGAAUGCUCUCUGCAGAGGUGGAAGAUUGUAGCAGCUCCACAAAACCGCCUGAAAGCCGACAUUCAGUUACUUGGCGGGAAUACAGCUCCACACAGCUGGCCUGGCUCCUCGCCUCCUAACAUCUGAAGUCUGUCUUUAGAGUGUGUUUCUCAGCGAGAGGGGCUUCUCUUUUCGAAUACAAAUAGCCCUGAGAGGCUAUCCAUCAUGCACAUCUUGCUUUGAAUUCCUUCAUUCACGUGCUUUCCUCCUUGCCCCAGCUGAG